ACCAUGAUAUGCUCUGUGAUGUUGUUGCUAUUUUUCCUCUUGUUCUUUUUGAUCAGGGUCCGCUGACCUAAAAACCUCCCCCCAGAACCCCGUCCCCUGCCCAUCCUAGGCAAUCUGCUACAGCUGGACCCUGUCAACCCCCUCAAAGACCUGGAAAGGCUGAAGAGGCGCUAUGGUAACGUGUUCUGUCUGUACAUCGGAUCACGACCUGUCGUGGUUCUGAAUGGCCUUGAGGUGGUUUGUGAGACACUGGUGACAUGCACAGCUGAAUUUUCAGGACGACCAAACCAUCUCAUGAUCAGCGACAUCACAGAAUGCACAGAAUGCUGUCACCGGGAAAAUGAGGACGUUCUUGAGGGACGUUCAUACACCUUGUUUGAGGACCAACACGCCAUGCCGUACGUUCAAGCGAUGAUCCACAAGUGGAUCAUGUGGAUGGCUGACACGGUUCCUCUUAGCGUGUUCCAUAUGACCUCCUGCAACACGCAACUACUAGGCUACCAGCUGCACCAGGUGAACAUUGACAUGACAACUGAUACUGUUACGUAACUAGCCCACUAAUUUUGCUACACUUGUUAUGUGUAGGUGUCCUACGCCUAGCUAAAUGGUCUCUAACCUGAUUUCAUGUUUGCAUUGUCUGUGAGAAGUAAACGUAUGUGGACCAGGUGUUGAAUGACUGUGCCCGAGGAGACAGCCGAGUUCAGGGCCAGCUCCGUCUUGACCUCUUGAGUCUGCCCAAGCGGAUUAUCAGUUGUUGUUCAAGGUGGUGACCUAAAUACAUAUAAGCAAAAAGAAACUACCAAAAUACAUGCCCAAAAAUAAAGAGGUUAACUAAAACAAAACAAAGAUUACCAGGCUGAGAAGCUCCGUAGCCACCUCUCUCUCACGGAUUGACUAUCCCCUUGAAUGCCUGCACUGUUGUGCUUAAGGACCCGGUUGCUGCUGCCCCCUAGGGAUGAGGUGUGGAAGUGGUAGUGUGUACUGUCUAUGUACGACCACUAAACUACUCCCCAUAUCAUAACAAUAUGUUGCCACUGGUGACCUUAGAACCCUAACAUAAAAACCACACCGCUCGUGUGUUUCAAAAUAAAUGUAAACAUACAUGUUAUUCAAUCAUUACACCCACACUGCUCGCGCGUGUCAACGAGCAUCUGUGUAGCUGUCACGUUCUGACCUUAGUUCCUUUGUUUUGUCUUUGUUUUAGUAUGGGCAAGGGCGUAAGUUGGGGUGGGCAGUCUAUGUUCUUUUUUCUAUAAUUUGGGAUUUCUGUGUUUGGCCUGGUAUUGUUCUCAAUCAUAGGCAGCUGUCAAUCGUUGUCCCUGAUUGAGAACCAUACUUAGGUAACCUGCUUUCAGCUUUGAGUUGUGGGUGAUUAUUUUCUGUUCUGUGUUUUGCUUCACUGUUCAGGACUGUUCGUUUUUGUCAUUUUAUUGUUUUUGUUCAAGUGUUCAGUAUUCAUAUUAAAUACAAUAUGGACACCUACCACGCUGCGCAUUGGUCUGACAUUUCUUACUCCUUGUCUGAGGAGGACGAAGACAAGCGUUACAGUAGCCAGGCGCUAUAAUAGAACUUGGUUCUAUUUGUGAUGCUUGAAGCGCUGCAAGUUCCGCCUCUCCCAUCUCCUAAUUGUUUUUUAGGAGCAUAUACCCACGUGGGUGAUUGAAAGAUGAACUAAGGUCCACACUUCAGUCCUGUUAGUGGUGUUAAUGCACCUUAAAGCUGGUUGCCAACUGCCAUAUAAAGUCCAAAGAAAGGGAAGAAGAUUGAAGAAGGAGAGAUUACUAGAAACAAACUCGGGUUAAACUUUUUAUCUGUGGAUUAAUUGUCGGAGUAGUGGACCUUGUGCAUUUCAGGUAAAAUAACAACCAAAUGAUUAUAUCCAAGGACAAAUUAACUAGCAACAGCAAGCUAGUUAGCUACAGUGCCUUGCGAAAGUAUUCGGCCCCCUUGAACUUUGCGACCUUUUGCCACAUUUCAGGCUUCAAACAUAAAAGAUAUAAAACUGUAUUUUUUUGCUCCAUGAAGAGGGCCAGUGGAAGUUCCCUCAGUUCAGCCCUGACAACUUCCUCAACGAGGAUGGCGAGUUUGUGAAACCAGAGGCCUUUCUGCCAUUCUCAGCAGGUACAGAGAGAGGUAGAGCUAGAGGGAGAUAGAGAAGAUGCAUAGAGACUGAACAAGAGUUCAUGUUAAUAUAAGAUAUAUAAGAGUGUGGACGGUGCAUUCGGAAAGUAUUCAGACCCCUUGUUUUUUUCCCACAUUUUGUUACGUUACAGCCUUAUUCUAAAAUGUGUUAAAAAUAUUUUUUCCCCCUCAUCAAUCUACACACAAUACCCCAUAAUGAAAAAGCAAAAACAUGUUUUUAGAAAUGUUUGCAAAUGUUGUAAAAAUAAAAAACUGAAAUAACCCAUUUACAUAAGUAUUCAGACCCUUUACUCAGUACUUUGUCGAAGCACCUUUGGCAGCGAUGACAGCCUCAAGUCUAAUUGGGUAUGACGCUACAAGCUUGGCACACCUGUAUUUGGGGAGUUUAUCCCAUUCCUCUCUGCGGAUCCUCUCAAGCUCUGUUAGGUUGGAUGGGGAGCAUUGCUGCACAGCUAUUUUCAGGUCUCUCCAGAGAUGUUUUAUAGGGUUCAAGUCUGAGCUCUGGCUGGGCCACUUAAGGACAUUCAGAGGCUUGUCCCGAAGCCACUUCUACGUUGUCUUGGCUGUGUGCUUAGGGUCGUUGUCCUGUUGGAAGAUUAACCUUCGCCCCCAUUCUGAGGUCCUGAGUGCUCUGGAGCAGGUUUUCAUCAAGGAUCGCUCUGUACUUUGCUCUUUUCCUCGAUCCUAACUAGUCAAAACGACUGGGGAAAAAUUAUGCUGCCACCACAAUGCUUCUCCGUAGGGAUGGUGCUAGGAUUUCUCCAGAUGUGAUGCUUGGCAUUCAAGCCAAAGAGUUCAAUAUUGGUUUCAUCAGACCAGAUAAUCUUAUUUCUCAUGGUCUGAGAGUCUUUAGAUGCCUUUUGGAAAACUCCAAGCGGACUGUCAUGUGCCUUUUACUGAGGAGUAGUUUCUGUCGGGCCACUCUACCAUAAAAGCCUGACUGGUGGAGUGCUGCAGGGAUGCUUGUCCUUUGGAAGUUUCUCCCAUCUCCACAGAGGAACUCUAGAGUUCUGUCAGAGUGACCAUCGGCUUCUUGGCCACCUCCCUGACCAACGUCCUUCGCCGAUUGCUCUGGGAAGAGUCUUGGUGAUUCCAAACAUCUUCCAUUUAAGAAUGAUGGAGGCCACUGUAUUAUUGGUGACCUUCAAUGCUGCAGAAAUGUUUUGGUGCCCAUCCCCAGAUCUGUUCCUCAACACAAUCCUGUCUCGGAGCUCUACGGAUGUCACGUUCGUCAUAGUGAGGAGACCAAGGCGCAGCGUAAUUUGAAUAUAUUUAAACAAAGAACACUAAACAAACAAAAAAAAAUAACAAAACGAACGUGACGCUAUAAACACGCGUGCUGACAUGCACCUACACAUAGACAAUAACCCACAAAAACAAAAUGGAAAAAUGGCAACCUAAAUAGGAUCCCCAAUCAGAGACAACGAUAAACAGCUGCCUCUGAUUGGGAACCAAUUCAGGCCACCAUAGACCUACAUUUACCUAGACAAACCAAAACCCCAUAGUUAUACAAAAAAACAUAGACAAGACAAAAACACACAUACCACCCUAACCAAAACAAUAAAGAAAACAAAGAUAACUCAGGUCAGGGCGUGACAACGGACAAUUUCUUCAACCUCAUGGAUUGGUUUUUGCUCUGACCAGCACUUUCAACUGUGGGACGUUAUAUAGACAGGUGUUUGUCUUUUCAAAAUCAUGUCUAAUCAAUUGAAUUUACCACAGGUGGACUCAAAUCAAGCUGUAGAAACAUCUCAAGGAUGAUCAAUGGAAACAGGAUGCACCUGAGCUCAAUUUCGAGUCUCAUAGCAAAGGGUCUGAAUACUUAUGUAAAUAAGGUAUUUCUGUUUUUUAUGUUUAUUAAAUUAGCAAACAUUUCGAAAAGCCUGUUUUCGCUUUGUCACUCUGGGCUAUUGUGUAUAGACGGCUGAGAAUGUUUUUUUUUAGA